UGGGGAAUAUUUGACAAUGUGCGCAAGCCUGAUCCAGCCAUGCCCCGUGUGUGAUGAAGGCCCUUGGGUUGUAAAGCUCUUUCACCGGGGAAGAUAAUUACCGUAACCGGAGAAGAAGCCCCGGCUAACUUCGUUCCAGCAGCCGCGGUAAUACGAAGGGGGCUCGCGUUUUUUGGAUUUACUGGGCGUAAAGCGCACGUAGGCGGACUUUUAAGUGAGGGGUGAAAUCCCGGGGCUCAACCCCGGAACGACCUGUGAUACUGGAAGUCUUGAGUAUGGUAGGGGUGAGUGGAAUUCCGAGUGUAGAGGUGAAAUUCGUAGAUAUUGGGAGGAACACCAGUGGCAAAGGCGGCUCACUGGACCAUUACUGACGCUGGGGUGAGAAAGCGUGGGGAGCAAACAGG
rnacentral:rRNA from 1 species